rnacentral:lncRNA from 1 species
AGACACAAACAGGGAGUGAGUCAUCACGAUCAGUACUAUUGCAGUCUCUUCUGGUUCUCUUUACCCAUUACACAUGUUAACUGUAAGAUGAAUGCCCACCAGCAUACGUAGUGUUAGUGAAAUCUCUAAAUGUCAUUCUGACUUAACUGUCACAAUAUCUGUGUUUUUCUCUCUCUAGAUCAUAUCCUCCACCUUUGCUUUAGACACGUGGAGAAAUAGGUUGAAGUCUUCCCAUACUCCUGGUGGCCGCCGAGGGGCCCCGCGCACCGAUGACAUCAGCGCUGCGUCUGGAGGAGGCCGUGACAGCCACUACAUGUGAACAUAUUAAAAUCUUUGGCUUGUCUGAGUCUGCGGACUGGUGUGUGGAAGGAAAAUAUGGCGCAAGGAUGGAGGGGGGACAGGAGACCACAAGAACCUACAAAGCCAAUUAGACAUCCUAAAACAACGAGGACAGAAACGACGAGAUGCUGCUGAAAUGAAAUAUACUGUAUACAACAUGAUAACUGUGUGGCUAUAUAAACUUUAAUAACGAUCGUUCAUUUAUAUAAUUAUGUCCAUAUACUGUUACCAUAAACAGAAAUCUGUGUUUUUAAAUAGCGUCGCCUCCGCUUCCAGUUCAUUUGUCGUUAUGUCCAAAAGCCAAAGAGUCAGUAGCGGCCCCGAG